GCAGGCGUGCCCGAGUGGUUAAGGGGUUAGUUUAAGGCACUAAUGUGAAAGCGCGUGGGUUCAAUUCCCACCGCCUGCA